GGAGGGGCCCGCGGCGCAUUAGCUAGUUGGUGAGGGAAGGGCUCACCAAGGCGACGAUGCGUAGCCGGCCUGAGAGGGUGAACGGCCACACUGGGACUGAGACACGGCCCAGACUCCUACGGGAGGCAGCAGUAGGGAAUCUUCCGCAAUGGACGGAAGUCUGACGGAGCAACGCCGCGUGAGUGAGGAAGGCCUUCGGGUCGUAAAGCUCUGUUGUCGCGAAGAAGGGGUUGGCCAGGAAAUGGGCCGACAUUGACGGUAGCGAACCAGAAAGCCCCGGCUAACUACGUGCCAGCAGCCGCGGUAACACGUAGGGGGCAAGCGUUGUCCGGAAUGAUUGGGCGUAAAGGGCGCGCAGGCGGCCCCUUAAGUCUGAUGUGAAAGCCCACGGCUCAACCGUGGAGGGACAUUGGAAACUGGGGGGCUUGAGUGCAGGAGAGGGGAGUGGAAUUCCACGUGUAGCGGUGAAAUGCGUAGAGGUGUGGAGGAACACCAGUGGCGAAGACGGCUCUCUGGCCUGUGACUGACGCUGAGGCGCGAAAGCGUGGGGAGCGAACAGGAUUAGAUACCCUGGUAGUCCACGCCGU
rnacentral:rRNA from 1 species